CGGCGAACAGCGGACGCGACGCGGUAUAGCAAAUUUGUUCAAUGUGAUGUCAUUUACAGAUGAUAUACGGAAUUUCGAAUUUGAUUAAGAAAGAAAAUUUCAAAUACUAACAUAAUAUACCUAUCCGAAACUCGACAUUUUAUACUUAUAGAAAAUACGUUGGGAAAAACUAUUAUUUCUAAGCGAACAAUUUCUUUAAUCAUGAGUGUU